AGUGAACGCUGGCGGUAGGCCUAACACAUGCAAGUCGAACGGCAGCACAGUAAGAGCUUGCUCUUACGGGUGGCGAGUGGCGGACGGGUGAGGAAUAACUCGGAAUCUACUUUUUCGUGGGGGAUAACGUAGGGAAACUUACGCUAAUACCGCAUACGACCUACGGGUGAAAUCAGGGGAUCUUCGGACCUUGCGCGAUUGAAUGAGCCGAUGUCGGAUUAGCUAGUUGGCGGGGUAAAGGCCCACCAAGGCGACGAUCCGUAGCUGGUCUGAGAGGAUGAUCAGCAAGACUGGAACUGAGACACGGUCCAGACUCCUCCGGGAGGCAGCAGUGGGGAAUAUUGGACAAUGGGCGCAAGCCUGAUCCAGCCAUACCGCGUGGGUGAAGAAGGCCUUCGGGUUGUAAAGCCCUUUUGUUGGGAAAGAAAAGCAGCAGGUUAAUACCCCGCUGUUCUGACGGUACCCAAAGAAUAAGCACCGGCUAACUUCGUG
rnacentral:rRNA from 1 species